GACGAACGCUGGCGGCGUGCUUAACACAUGCAAGUCGAACGGUAAGGCCUAGCUUUCUAGGUGGAUUAGUGUCGAACGCGUGUGUAAUACGUGAGUGACCUCCCUUUAACACUUUGGUAAGCCCUGGGAACUGUGGCUAAUACCGGGGACGAGCAAUCUCCCCGUGUGGUGGGGGUUGGAAGCGUUAUGUGGUGGUUGUUGAUGGGCUCACGGCCUAUCAGCUUGUUGGGGAGGUAGCGGCUCACCAAGGUGACGACGGGUAGCCGGCCGGAGAGGGUGACCGGCCACACUGGGACUGAGACACGGCCCAGACUCCUACGGGAGGCAGCAGUGGGGAAUAUUGCACAAUGGGCGGAAGCCUGAUGCAGCGACGCCGCGUGAGGGAUGACGGCCUUCGGGUUGUAAACCGCUGUUAGCUGGGACGAAGAGAGAUUGACGGUAACUGCAGAGAAAGCACCGGCUAACUACGUG
rnacentral:rRNA from 1 species